GACUUGCUAACCAUAAAAGGUUAGAUAUCAAUCUCUCUGAAGUGGCAAGCAGCAGGUUGAAGAUCGCUCGGAAGCGAGCAGGAGUGGACGCGAGAGAUUCUAGCUUCUGUACACAGUAACCGUGUGUGGGAGACUCUAUUUCAGGACCCUCAACCGCGGAGGGAUGAUGGUGGGACUUGAUAAGGCUCAGUUGGCCUUACAAAAGACAAGGAAUGUCGGGGACUGAUUCUAACCCUGAUAGUGCCUGCCGCAAGAGGGGAAAUUGAUGAUUGGAAUUUUUAGACAUCUUCAUUAGUUCCGGAAAAUAGGUUUCCUAUCGUUGAGGAACCUACAAACACUGUAUAUAAUAAAAAAUCAAGCCGCCAUCUCGUUCUCUUCGAGAGAUAUCGUGUACACUACAGAUAGAUCGACGAACAGACUGACCUGAUUGUGUGAAGUUGAAAUCUUUCGGUUCGUGCCAGUUUUGACCUCGGCGUCAGCAAAUUGAAGAAAUAGUCAUUUGUAUACCGACUAACGAUGGGCGUAUGUCUCUCGUAAUCGAAGGCCUCGUUGAAUGUGCCAACUCCUUCGAAACUAUGUGCAAGUGAUGUAAUCCGCGAUACCGUUCGAGCGGCGGCACGGCAGGCAGAGGUGGUGUGCGGUGGUCACAUUUCAUGUCUUCCAAUCCGACCCGACAGAGAGAGUUGGGACACUCGCGCGAGUUACGUAAAUCUUUAGUAAGCGAACGGAUUGAAUAACCAGCUCUCGAAGAUCAGGUUUUAUUAUUAUUAUUGUGGGCGAAACACUUCUACGGACAACCAGCGAGCAAACGAGCGUUUAGCGUUUGUUGGCGGAUCGAAUGUCAUAUUCGCCGCUUCAAGAGCGGUGCCUGUACCAGUAUUAAAAUAAUUCCUGAACC